rnacentral:rRNA from 1 species
GACGAACGCUGGCGGCGCGCCUAACACAUGCAAGUCGAACGAGCGAGAGAGAGCUUGCUUUCUCGAGCGAGUGGCGAACGGGUGAGUAACGCGUGAGGAACCUGCCUCAAAGAGGGGGACAACAGUUGGAAACGACUGCUAAUACCGCAUAAGCCCACGACCCGGCAUCGGGUAGAGGGAAAAGGAGCAAUCCGCUUUGAGAUGGCCUCGCGUCCGAUUAGCUAGUUGGUGAGGUAACGGCCCACCAAGGCAACGAUCGGUAGCCGGACUGAGAGGUUGAACGGCCACAUUGGGACUGAGACACGGCCCAGACUCCUACGGGAGGCAGCAGUGGGGAAUAUUGCACAAUGGGGGAAACCCUGAUGCAGCGACGCCGCGUGGAGGAAGAAGGUCUUCGGAUUGUAAACUCCUGUUG